GGGGUUGUGGCUCAGCGAUAGAGCACUUGCCUAGCACGUGCAAGGCCCUGAGUUCAGUCCUCAGCACCACA
rnacentral:tRNA from 1 species